rnacentral:rRNA from 1 species
ACGGGUGAGUAACACGUGGAUAACCUACCUAUAAGACUGGGAUAACUUCGGGAAACCGGAGCUAAUACCGGAUAACAUAUUGAACCGCAUGGUUCAAUAGUGAAAGGCGGCUUUGCUGUCACUUAUAGAUGGAUCCGCGCCGUAUUAGCUAGUUGGUAAGGUAACGGCUUACCAAGGCAACGAUACGUAGCCGACCUGAGAGGGUGAUCGGCCACACUGGAACUGAGACACGGUCCAGACUCCUACGGGAGGCAGCAGUAGGGAAUCUUCCGCAAUGGGCGAAAGCCUGACGGAGCAACGCCGCGUGAGUGAUGAAGGUCUUCGGAUCGUAAAACUCUGUUAUCAGGGAAGAACAAAUGUGUAAGUAACUGUGCACAUCUUGACGGUACCUGAUCAGAAAGCCACGGCUAACUACGUGCCAGCAGCCGCGGUAAUACGUAGGUGGCAAGCGUUAUCCGGAAUUAUUGGGCGUAAAGCGCGCGUAGGCGGUUUUUUAAGUCUGAUGUGAAAGCCCACGGCUCAACCGUGGAGGGUCAUUGGAAACUGGAAAACUUGAGUGCAGAAAAGGAAAGUGGAAUU